ACACUCACCUGGCAGGAAACCACCAUGAGCAUGAAGACGGUUUUCGUCAGGGAAAUGGCGUUUGUCGUGUCAGGCUCGUACCUUUUGCUGUAGGUGUGCUGGCUCCUGCCAUUUCUCCAAACACAGGAAACUCAGCUGCAGAAUCUGCAGACGGGGGGGACUGUGUUCGUAUUCUCCCCGU
rnacentral:snRNA from 13 species